rnacentral:rRNA from 1 species
GACGAACGCUGGCGGCGUGCUUAACACAUGCAAGUCGAACGGUGAAGCGCCUUCCUUUUUGGUGGGUGUGGAUGAGUGGCGAACGGGUGAGUAACACGUGAGUAACCUGCCCCCUUCUUCUGGAUAACCGCAUGAAAGUGUGGCUAAUACGGGAUAUUCUGGGUCUGUCGCAUGAUGGGUCUGGGAAAGAUAUUGUUUCGGUGGGGGAUGGGCUCGCGGCCUAUCAGCUUGUUGGUGGGGUGAUGGCCUACCAAGGCGGUGACGGGUAGCCGGCCUGGGAGGGUGGACGGUCACACUGGGACGGAGGCACGGCCCAGACUCCUACGGGAGGCAGCAGUGGGGAAGAUUGCACAAUGGGCGCAAGCCUGAUGCAGCGACGCCGCGUGAGGGAUGGAGGCCUUCGGGUUGUGAACCUCUUUCGCCAGUGAAGCAGGCCUGCCUCGUUUGUGGGUGGGUUGACGGUAGCUGGAUAAGAAGCGCCGGCUAACUACGUG